rnacentral:lncRNA from 1 species
AUUAGGCGGCAUUACAACAUAGAAUUGUUGAAUCCACAUAUUUAAUCGACUAAAAAAAUGCACUAAUAUUAUUUACAAUAACUAUAUCAACAAUACAAUUUGCAGUAUUCUAAGCACUAUUGAUGUAUUCAGAUUAAUAUUGUCUAUAAACAUCAUACUAAUAAUUUAAAAAAAACACAAAGUAAUAAACCAAAUUAACCUUAACUUCCUGCAAUAAAAUAUCAAAACUAACAGUAAUGCACCACAAAUCUAAAUCCAGAACAAUGAGUAAACACUUUAAGAAUCAUAAUACCAAUAGUCAUCAUUCUUAACACUACUUAAAACAUCCUUAUCUAUUGGUGGACUGUAAACAGCAAUGCCAUAAAUGUCAAUUUUGUGUCCCAAAGACCACGGCAGAAUCAUAACUCCACACAGCAUGAUGAAAUAUAACAAGCAAAUAACUCCACACAGCAUGAUGAAAUAUAACAAACAAGUCUACAUUUGUUCUAAAGGAUCCAAAACCCUCACACUGUGACGUGGUCAGAAUAAUAUGCUCACCUGCAAUGUUUAAAAAAACUAUAGAAUCCAUACACACGAUUCGCAAGUUCUGGAAACCGAAAACAUAAACAAACCAAAAGUUUACUAGCCAAAAUCAGGGAAUGUACAAGCAGCACAAUUUUUACUUUACAUCAUCAACAUUUUGAACAGAAAUAAAAAUUGACAAUCGGGAACUUAAGGAUGUAAUCGAAACAAGCUUUAUGACUGAAAUUAUGAUACAUAAAGGCUACGAAUAAUAAACCACACAAAUCAUCAUCAAUUUAGAAAUUAAGAACAUAGAAAUUGAUACAAUAAUCUUAGAAUGUCAAGCUAGCAACUAUGCCCAAACCGAGCCCACAAAUAACCAUAAAUUGAUGACGCAUUUAAAAUCGAAAUGAAAUACACACCUUCCUGAAAUCAAACGCUAACCACGUCAAAAUGACUAGAGAGAAACAAAUACAGGGAUGCAUUUCAAGCCCCUCAUAUCGAGAUAAAGCAAAGUAAAGUACUCGCAAUAACAGUCGCAAUCGAACAAUCUUUUAAGAGACGAAUACUUGUUCUAAUCAAUCUAUUACCAUAACAGCAUAUUGAGUAACAGAAAACAGAUACUAUCCAAAUUUAUCAAUGUAUUCUAAUCAACCAGCAAUAUCGAAUAAAUAAAAAUGAAAAGGCAGGGAAGGUGAGUAUCUACUUUAACAGCACCUAAGCAAAGAACAAUCACUUUACCAAACGAAACGACGAUGAAUCCGGCGAGUUACGCAAUGGCCGUUGGUUGCGAGCUCUUGGUCCUGUAAGGAAACUUGUGGUGAUUGGCGUCAUCAUUGUUGUUGAGGUGCACUAUUAUGAAGGCAUCGUGAAGUUGGGCAUGAGUUUUUUGCUUCGAAACUCUAUCUAAACAGGGUUCACCAUGUGGACACCGUUGUCGUAUGGUCACUGUGAUGACGUGAGCGGCAUCACGGAGUCAAUGAGUAGUAAGACCAUGAACCACGGAUGUGCGUUUUUUCCGACACUUUGAUGCUGCGUUUCUGUGGUUGGCUGUUGUUGCCUGAGCGACGGAGGAAGAUCGCGGGUUACGGAGGGACGGCGACGGCGUGGUGAUUCGUCGGUAGAUUUGAGAAUGAAUGUGAGGGCGUGUAUGAAACGGAGUGAAGGUUUUGGUGUCGGAGGGUUUGAAGCGGCGAAGGUUGUGGAUUCGUGGGUUUUGGGGUUUCGUGGCGUGUGGACGGCGAUUGAGAGUUGUUGAGUGAGGGUUUUGGGAUGGUGACGAGAAGAAGCGGCGAUGGAGGUAGCGGUGAGGCGUAGCGAUGAAGGAGGUUUUGAAGGCGUUGUGUCGGUAGAUGGAGUUUGUGUGGUGACGGCGGCUAGGGUUUUUUGAUAGUGAGAGUGUGUGGGAGGCGAAAAGGGAUUGAAGAGGGUUUUGAGAUAUUUUGGAUGUAGUGAGAGAGUCUGUGAAUUUGUGGUGUGGGGAGAGAUAAGGAGUGAGGGUGAGGAGUGUGGUCUGUGUACCGAGAGAGAAAAGAGAGUGAUAGUCCAUUUAAUGAGUGGAGUGAGGUGAGUUUGUGUAGCAGACCGUUGGGAGGAAUUCUGUUGUGAGGGUAUUAUGGGAACGCGUGGCAAUGAUGAGAGGAAUUUGAGCUUGUUAUGAGUGGGUCGGAUUUGUGAGGGAUAUCCUUUUUCUUUUUGUUUUUUAUGUGAGGAGGGAAUCCAAUGCACAUAAAUUUUUUAUAAUUAUUAUUUAUUUAAAGAACAAAUCAUAAAAAGACUAACUAAUAUUUAAUUCAAACACAUUCUAAUUUAUUUUAAUUAAAUAUCUAACCAAAAAUAUUGACCCAUUAAAAAUAGAAAUCGAGUACAAAUUUGUUCGAAAAAUUAAACCGGUCACACUAAAAUUGUCAGGAAAAAAUAUAGUUAUUAAAAAAAUACAGUCUUUCCUCAAAUUUUAACGAUUCAACCGAUUUUUCUGUAUUCUCAAAUAAAUUCAUUCUGACUGACAUUUUAGGUGUUAUUCAUGAUGCAAUGUAUGUCAUGUUAUGUAUAUGAUGCAAAAAAUAAAAAAAUGAAAUCAAUUCUAUGAAAUUUAAAUAUGUCUGGACAAAAUUGGGAUAUGACAGAAAUCACUUGAAAAACCAAUUUGGAGCCAAAUGCAAGUGAUGAAAUGUGAAACCAAUGCUUAAUUUUCAAAUUUGAACUUUCCCUCCAAAAUUCAAAUGAAAAACCAAAUAUUUUUGUGAUGGAAAUGCAUGGCAUAUGAUGCAUGUUUUGGAUAGUGCAUGUCAAGACAUGAAUGUUGCAAAAAGAACCACUUCAUUUGGCCUUAUGGUUAAAAAGUUAUGCAUGUUUGAAGUCCAAGUUCACUUGGCCAUGAUUGAUCCAUAUCUUUUCAACCAUACAUGAGAAAUUCAUGAUCUUGGACUUUUUGGAAAGGGGAGAGAAAGAUCUUCAACUUUCAUGUUGGACAAAAUUUCAUUUGAAUCUUGUUUGAUGAUGUAAUCUUGAGGAGAAAACCUUUCCAUUUUUGGCAAUUUCAAAUUACAGGUCAGUUACUAUUUUUGGAAACUUUUCAUCUGACCUCAAAUUCUUCAAUGUUGAUGUUUGAAAUGUCAAAUGAGACUUGUAUGGACAUGAAUGAGGCCUCUCUAACCAUCUCCCACCUUCAAAUCCAUGAUUGAGGAAACUUUUCAUCUGACCUCAAAUUCUUCAAUGUUGAUGUUUGAAAUGUCAAAUGAGACUUGUAUGGACAUGAAUGAGGCCUCUCUAACCAUCUCCCACCUUCAAAUCCAUGAUUGAAUUGACAGUCGACUUUUGUUGACUUUCUAGGGUUUCAGAUGACUUGCAUCUUGACUGAUGAGCUUUGAACAUCCAACCUUUGCCCAAACCACUUCAAAAUGAUCCUUGAAUCAUAUUAACUCAUUGAACCAACCCUAGGGCUUUGCUUCCAUAGGAAAUUCACUUGCUUGCUUGCACAACUGAACCUCCUAACCAGUCUUGACUGAUCUUGCCUGAUGUUGACUAUGCAAAUGAUAAUGCAAUGAGCUAUGCCAUGGUCAAUGCAAUGUUAAUGACAAAAAAAUGAAAAUGUAUGUGCAAAAUGGGAGGUGCAAAUUUGAGGUGCUACAGAGGGCUGUAACUGUAAGUCAUGUGAAUGCUUGGAAGAAAAUAAUGCUUGAAAUAAAGGAAGUCAAUAAAGAGGCAUUCAAACAUCUCAUCAAAAUUCCAUCAAGAUUUUGGAGCAAAUCAAGGUUCAGGACAAGUACAAGUUGUGAUACUUUGGUGAAUAAUAUGUCUAAUUCAACUCUGUCUUUGUAGCUACUAGAGUCAAGCCAAUUGUGACAAUGCUUAAAGAAAUUAGAGUGUAUUAUAAUGGUGGGAAGCCUGUUUUAAGUCAACCUUGAUGUUUCUAUGAUGUUUGUUAUGCCUUAUAAUGAAUUUUUGCAAUGUUAUUUUAGUACCUUAUAAUGGCUUAUUGAUAAUGGCCUAUAAUAUCUUUUUGUAAUGUUAUUUUAUUAUCUUAUAAUGGCUUUUUGACAAUGGCUUAUAAUAGAUUUUUGUAAUGUUAUUUUAGUACCUUAUAAUGGCUUAUUGACAAUGGCUUACAAUGACUUGUAAUACCUAUUUGUAAUGUUAUUAAUAUUCCUUGUAAUGUCUUGAUGACAAUGGCUUAUAUGACAUUUUUGUAUCACUUUUUGGAAUGUUAUAGAUAUGCAUUAUAAUAGGUUAUAUUUUGUUCAAGCUUUUAUAUCAGUUAUGUAUCAGUGUAAAAACAGAUGAAUAAUGCACAAACACAACACUUUAUUAAAACAGACACUAACAUUCUUCAUUAAAUAAAUAGAAGAUUACAUUCAUAUUGUGAAAAAAAACAUUAAAUUACCCUAAUCCUAAUUGAAAUACUUUGUUACAAAUACAAGGUUCAACCCUAAACUCAACAUCCUAACCACAAUGGAUAUUUUUAACCAUCUGUUAGUGUGGAUAACCUCAUUCUUCAAUUUGUUAAUUUUCUUCUUUUGUCUUUCAAGCUUCAACUUCCUUUCAUCAAUAAAUUCAUCCCCUAACCACUUGAAGAAAUUACACCUCGUGUCCAUGUGAUUUUUGUAAUUUCUACAAUCCAAAAUUUUCUCCCAUAGUUGACAUUGUUCACAUCAGUAACAAUACGAAGAACAUUAUCAUCUUGGCAAAAACACUCAAUUAUGUUAUUUCUAUGAAGCACGAAUCCAGAUGUAGCAAAGCUUAUGAUUGAGACAUUGCUUGUAUUCUUAGACAUUGAAGCAUUGAUUGAGGAAUACGGAUGCACGAUGGAAGAUGGAAGAUGGAUGUAUGAACAUACGAAUGCACGAUGGAAGAUGGAUGUAUGAAUAGUGAAAAAUGAAGGACGAAGAUGAAGGAUUAGGAAAACACGAACCCUAAAUGGUUUAUAACACAACAAUUGAGUCUUAACUUGAAUGGUUGCAUACCUAACAUGCCACCUCAACAAUACUUAACAUUUUCUCACCCUAACUAACGAAAUGGACCAAAUAUUUUAACGAAAGAGAAAUCAAGGUAUCAAUACAUAACGUUUUUUAGAUAGGGGACCAACAAGAAACUUCACUUAAAACUAAGAGACAUAAUGACUAAUUAGGCAUAUAUAUAUAUAUAUUAUAUAUAUAUAUAUAAUAUAUAUAUAUAUUAUAUAUAUAUAUAUAUAUAUAUAUAUAUAUAUAUUAUAUAUAUAUAUAUAUAUAUAAUAUAUAUAUAUAAUAUAUAUAUAUAUAUAUAAUACUAUAUACAACAACAUCAACUCACAAGUUAAUUGCAAAUUUACAAUGUUUAAUACUUUUUAGCAACGUUCAAAUUAUAUAUUUCAAGAUGAAUUUUGAAAUAAUGUUGAUAACUUCUAAGUUAGUGAAAGGUCGGUUCAAGGAUUUUUUUUUAAAUAAACAACUUUUUCAAAAAAAUAAAUUCCAAAAAUAACCACAUUUAAAAGAGGAUGCGCCAGAUGAAUUGACGCAUCCAUUAAACAUCAAGAGGAGGCAUCCAAGGCAUUGACACCUGCAUUAGGCCCCUCAAGAGGAGACGUUAAUGUCUCUAACGCUUACAUGGUGCAUGUUGUGUGCGCCAGAUGAAUUGGCGUAUACACCACAUGCACCAUGCAGGCGCCAAAGGCAUUGACGCCUCCUCAUGAGGACCAAUGCAUGCACCAAGGACAUUGACACCUCCUCAUGAGGGGCCCGAUGCAGGCGUCAAUGUCUUGGGUGCCUCCUCUUGAUGUUUAAGGGAUGCGUCAGUUCAUCUGACGCAUCCUCUUUUAAAUGUGGUUAUUUUGGGAAAAAAUUGAAAAAUUGUUAUUUUGGAAUUAUUUUUGAAAAAGUUGGUUAUUUUUAAAAAAUACACUUCAAGUCAGAAGAAAUUGAUUUUUUUUAAAUAACAAUUUAAAAAAAAAUCGAAAAUAACAAAUAAUUCAAAAAAAACAAAAUAACCACUUUUAAAAGAGGAUGCGUCAGAUUAAUUGGCGCAUCCCCUAAGCAAGAAGAGGAGGCGCCAAUAGCAUUGGCGCAUGCAUUGACCCUCAUGAGGAGGCGCCAAUGUCCCUAGCGCCUUAGAGUUGUUUGUGGUGUGGGCGCCAAUGCCUUUGGCGCCUGCACCCCUUGUAUUUUUUUUUUAAUUUUAAUUUUGUUUAUUUAUUAAGUAAAAAAAAAUAAUGUAACAAAAAAAUUUAUUCAUGUGGUAAUAAUUAGUUACAUUGGACUGAUAAUAAACCAAUGACCAGCCCGAUCAUAACGUCCCCAUGUUCCACAUCCAGGUGUGUUAGUUUACCUCUGAGGUCUCUCACGAUUUUCUUGAGGUGUUUGAGGUCUUUGCGUGCUGACCUGAUCAAACGAUGGCUGGUGGGAAGGUCCAGCGGAAGUUCCAGCGGUAUUUGACAAAUGUGUCAUCAUUUGUUCCCAAUAUUUGGAGGGGCUCUGGUCAACGACGCUUCCGUAAUGGAGUUCGGUGCCCAUGUCAUCGUAGUUAGGUCGUUGGGGUUGGGUGGAUUGGGGACGGUAUAGUUUCCCAAAUUGGGUCAUUGAAUCGUUUUGGAAACGAAACAAUGGUUUCUGGGGCGUACUAUAGUUAAACAAUGAUUGGGUAUUAUGGUGAUGAGAUGUUUGGGUGGUCAUUGGCGGGGGCCUACGAUGAAGUGACCCAUAUGAAUCAUUUGGGCUAUAGACAGUUGUGGUUGCGAGAUUUGAUUUUUGGUUUUGUGUUUGGGUGGGUGGUAUGAAUGGAUUGUGACAUUGGAUGGUUGAUUGUUGGGUGGAUGACAUGAACGGGUUGCAAGGUUAGGUGUUUGGUUGUUGUGUGUAUGUGGUAGGUUGAUAUUGUGAGGUUGGUUGUUGAGUUUGGGUGGGUUGACAUUGGUGUUGGGUGGGGAAUUGUUGUGGGGCGUACGAUGACGAAGUAAGUUGGCGAGGAUCCAUCAAAUACCGCGACUCAUAUACAAAUUUUUGAGUUGUUACCGACCUAAACCAUAC